rnacentral:rRNA from 1 species
UACAGAGGUCUCAAGCGUUGUUCGGAUUCAUUGGGCGUAAAGGGUGUGUAGGUGGCGCCGUAAGUCGGGUGUGAAAUCUCGGGGCUUAACUCCGAAACUGCAUUCGAUACUGCCGUGCUUGAGGACGAGAGAGGAGACUGGAAUUUACGGUGUAGCGGUGAAAUGCGUAGAUAUCGUAAGGAAGACCAGUGGCGAAGGCGGGUCUCUGGACAGUUCCUGACGCUGAGGCACGAAGGCCAGGGGAGCAAACGGG